rnacentral:rRNA from 1 species
UACGUAGGGUGCAAGCGUUGUCCGGAAUUAUUGGGCGUAAAGAGCUCGUAGGCGGUUACUCAAGUCGGAUGUGAAAGCCCUCGGCUUAACUGAGGAAGUGCACCCGAAACUGAGUAGCUAGAGUACUAAAGAGGGUCGCGGAAUUCCCGGUGUAGAGGUGAAAUUCGUAGAUAUCGGGAGGAACACCGGUGGCGAAGGCGGCGACCUGGGUAGAUACUGACGCUGAGGCGCGAAAGCGUGGGGAGCAAACAGG